GCUGCCUUAGCUCAGUUGGGAGAGCGCCAGACUGAAGAUCUGUAGGUCACCCGUUCGAUCCGGGUAGGUGGCA
rnacentral:tRNA from 1 species